GAUGAACGCUAGCGGCAGGCCUAAUACAUGCAAGUCGGACGGGAUUCAGGAGCUUGCUUCUGAUGAGAGUGGCGCACGGGUGCGUAACACGUAUGUAACCUACCUUUAUCAGGGGGAUAGCCUCUCGAAAGAGAGAUUAAGCCCGCAUAAAAUCACAGCACAGCAUUGUGUAAUGAUCAAAUAUUUAUAGGAUAAAGAUGGGCAUGCGGAACAUUAGCUAGAUGGCGGGGUAACGGCCCACCAUGGCGACGAUGUUUAGGGGAUCUGAGAGGAUGGCCCCCCACACUGGUACUGAGACACGGACCAGACUCCUACGGGAGGCAGCAGUAAGGAAUAUUGGUCAAUGGGCGGAAGCCUGAACCAGCCAUGCCGCGUGCAGGAAGACGGCCCUACGGGUUGUAAACUGCUUUUAGACGGGAAUAAACCCAGAUACGUGUAUCUGGCUGAAUGUACUGUAAGAAUAAGGAUCGGCUAACUCCGUG
rnacentral:rRNA from 1 species